CCCUUAGAUGUUCGGAGCUGCACGCGCGCUACACUGUUCGACGCAGCGAGUCUUAACCUUGACCGAAAGGUUUGGGUAAUCUUCAGCAAAGUCGAACGUGAUGGGGAUCGAUCAUUGCAAUUAUUGAUCGUGAACGAGGAAUUCCUAGUAAGUGCAAGUCAUCAGCUUGCGCUGAUUACGUCCCUGCCCUUUGUACACACCGCCCGUCGCUACUACCGAUUGAAUGGUUUAGUGAGAUCUCUGGAUUGACGCUGGCUAGGGGGCGACCCUUGGCCAGGCUGUCGAGAAACUGCUCAAACUUGAUCAUUUAGAGGAAGUAAAAGUCGUAACA
rnacentral:rRNA from 1 species